AACUAUCAACUAGAGGUGGUCAAACAAAACAAACAAAGUAACAAGUAAUGCCUCUUGUCAUUAAUAAAAUUAAGAUUAUAGUUACACUAAAACUAGUAUAAUCUACAAUUUUACAACAUGACAGGAGGCUUCAUAUUAGCUGUUUUAAUGCUUAGACAGCAAAGCAAAGAAGCAUGAUCCAUUGGUCUGAACUAAAAUUGUCGGAAAGAGUCCACCCGGGACCAGUCAGCCGAGCGCAGGAUGUCCUGGAGAGAGGCGUCCGCGGAAAGGUGCCAGAAUCCAUUGC